AGCCCAUGAGUAGGGCAUUUGAGCAAGAGCUUCUUGAAUCUCACCCAUGUUAUAUGAAUGGGUUCUCCUUCCAUCGCUUGGAUCCUUGAAUAUCAUCUCUGAGCUU